GAGAUUACUAAUUUGCUACUGUUACCUGUUAUAUGCAGGAAACAAAAAAUAAACACAAUAAAAAUAACAGAUAAUAGUAUCAUAAUUCACUGUCAGAUGAAAAAAGCAACAAUAUGAAAAUAAGCAUUGAAAUUAAAUUCAUAAAAUAGGGUAGAAAAGGCAAAAUUAAAUAAUUUAAGUUUAUGCAUGUACACAUUUUAUUUUAUUUCAGAUUUACAAACCAGUAGCAAAAUUUCCAGGCAGUGUACACGACUCGUACAUAUUUUCAAACUCUGAAUUGUGAUACUUUUUUGAAGAGAACAAUGUGGAUGGAUGGUUACUGGGAGAUUCUGGAUAUGGUCUAAAAAAGUAUUUGCUUACUCCAAAAUUAAAUUCUUACACACUGGCUGAGGAGUAAUACAACAAGGCUCACUCAAAAACACGCACCAUAGUGGAACAGGCUUUUGGUGUAUGCAAAUCUAGAUAUAGGUAAAAAAAAAUUAUUAUUUUCAAAUUUCAAAAAAUAUCAUUUUAAAUAUGUUAAUGAAAAACAGCACAGUCAUUCUUAUGCCCUCUAUAACUUGCUGUUCCAUGUGCACCAAGAUUCCUUAUUGAAGAAGUUGUAUUGUUACCUAUAAUUCAGCUAAAUUCUGUCUUGGGUGUAGAGUAUGUCUCAUUGACACUCAUACUACAUCUUAUUAAUAAAAUAUGAAGAAUGAUACAAUUUUCUUCUUUUUAUGUGCAAAUUACAACAAUUUCCAAUGUAAAAAAAAUAGUACUCUUUUUUUCAUUACAGGUGUUUGCAUAAAACAGAGGGCUGUUUGCCAUUUACACCUGACAAAUCUGCAAUAGUUG
rnacentral:lncRNA from 1 species